UACGUAGGGUCCGAGCGUUGUCCGGAAUUACUGGGCGUAAAGAGCUCGUAGGUGGUUUGUCGCGUUGUUCGUGAAAACUCACAGCUCAACUGUGGGCGUGCGGGCGAUACGGGCAGACUUGAGUACUGCAGGGGAGACUGGAAUUCCUGGUGUAGCGGUGGAAUGCGCAGAUACCAGGAGGAACACCGGUGGCGAAGGCGGGUCUCUGGGCAGUAACUGACGCUGAGGAGCGAAAGCGUGGGGAGCAAACAGG
rnacentral:rRNA from 1 species